UGGCACCCAAUAUGUAGGGCCUGUAUACAGGGGGCUUAUCGUGAGAUAGUAGACUCAGGUGGCUGGUAUUGUAUACAGAUAUUCCUGGGAUCCUGCCUCAGCUGAAACAAAGGUAAGUGAUAGAGUAUGAAUAUGAUAUGAAUAUGAAUAUGAUAGAAUAUGAAUAUGAAGUGAUAGAGUAAGAAUUAAGCCUACAUGAGGUCUCUGUGAAAUAAUUAAAAGAGGCAUUAAAGGUGCAAGAAAUAAAGAUAAAAAUCAAUGACUUCUUUAGAUUUUUUAUUUUGUUAAGGAUCUUUGCCCUU
rfam:Rattus norvegicus chromosome 1, whole genome shotgun sequence.